rnacentral:rRNA from 1 species
CAAUAGCGUAUAUUAAAGUUGUUGCAGUUAGAACGCUCGUAGUCGGAUUUCGGGGCGGGGCGACCGGUCUGCCGAUGGGUACGCACUGGUCGGCGCGUCCUUCCUUCCGGAGACCGUGCCUACUCUUAACUGAGCGGGGGCGGGAGACGGAUCGUUUACUUUGAAAAAAUCAGAGUGUUUCAAGCAGGCAGCUCGCUCUUGCAUGGAUUAGCAUGGGAUAAUGAAAUAGGACUUUGGUGCUAUUUUGUUGGUUUCGAACACCGAAGUAAUGAUUAACAGGGACAGUCAGGGGCACUCGUAUUCCGCCGAGAGAGGUGAAAUUCUCAGACCCGCGGAAGACGAACCACUGCGAAAGCAUUUGCCAGGGAUGUUUUCACUGA